UACGUAGGGUGCGAGCGUUGUCCGGAAUUAUUGGGCGUAAAGGGUAGGUAGGUGGUCUUAUUUGUCUGGGGUGAAAGCCUUGAGCUUAACUCAAGAAGUGCCCCAGAAACGGUGAGACUAGAGUCCUGGAGAGGGUCGUGGAAUUCCCGGUGUAGCGGUGAAAUGCGUAGAGAUCGGGAGGAACACCAGAGGCGAAAGCGGCGACCUGGACAGGCACUGACACUCAACUACGAAAGCGUGGGGAGCAAACAGG
rnacentral:rRNA from 1 species